CCCUUAGAUGUCCUGGGCCGCACGCGCGCUACACUGACAUGUUCAACAAGUUUCUCCUAGUUCGACAGGACUGGGAAAUCUUUGAACGCAUGUCGUGAUAGGGAUAGAUCAUUGCAAUUAUUGAUCUUGAACGAGGAAUUCCUAGUAAACGCGAGUCAUCAGCUCGCAUUGAUUACGUCCCUGCCCUUUGUACACACCGCCCGUCGCACCCACCGAUUGAAUGUUUCGGUGAAGAUUCCGGAUAGGACUGAUUUGAUUUAUUUCAUUUCUGACCUAAAAGCUAUCUAAACCUCAACAUUUAGAGGAAGGUGAAGUCGUAACA
rnacentral:rRNA from 1 species